GACACUCCCCCGCCAGACGGACCGGCGCUGCGCGCGAGAGGAAACGGAGAGGGGAGGGAGGCGGGGUCAUUCGCGCGCGUCGGGUUUCACAAAACACAUACAUACACACAGUUGCACACGCAGGCACGUGACUCCGAAUGGCCGCUGUGGCUUCCUCUGCCUCGCGCGGAUCUCCGUUCCCACUUCCCGUCUCCACGUCCGAGUCGGUCCGGCGCGCGCGCCGUUUCUGAUCCCGCAUUCCGGUUUAACAUUUGGAGGUCACUUGUGCACGGGGAGGGUCACACACACACACACACACACACACACACACACAGCACGAGAAAACGGCGGCACGACUCACUGGAGUAACAUCAUCACAUCACAUCACAUCACAGCGCAUCGCGUCAGACCCGAAGAGAAACUUCCAUCGGUCGCGAGACGCCGGUGGGCGGAGCCAACAGGUUACAGCUCACAGUAAAACGGUGACAAAGACUGGAUCAGUGGCCCAUGAGGAGUGAGAUAGGAUAAAGAGGACAUAAACCAAAUGGCUGCUCGCUUCAUUUCAAAUUACAGAAGGGAACCUUCUAGAAGCUUCUCCGAACAUUGGAUUUUUUCGUAAUUUGUCCUUUUCCCCCUCCUUCACCGACUGGACGGC